rnacentral:rRNA from 1 species
GAUGAACGCUGGCGGCGUGCCUAACACAUGCAAGUCGAACGUGAUCCUACUUCGGUAGGUGAAAGUGGCGAACGGGUGAGUAACACGUUGGUGACCUGCCCCGAAGUGGGGGAUAACUCCUCGAAAGAGGUGCUAAUACCCCGGAUGUUUGAGUUUUUAGAAAGCUCAAACUAAAGUUCCGACGCUUCGGGAGGGGCCUGCGGGCUAUCAGCUUGUUGGUGAGGUAAUGGCUUACCAAGGCUAAGACGGCUAGGGGGCGUGAGAGCGUGACCCCCCACAAUGGAACUGACACACGGUCCAUACUCCUACGGGAGGCAG